rnacentral:lncRNA from 1 species
UAAGGGCGAGGCAAGGUCCAAGGCAAAGUCGGGCAAAGUAUGCGCGGAUCAGUGGGACGACUUAACUCAUGGCAGGGCGUGGCUAUGAAGUUAAGGGCGAGGCAAGAUCCAAGGCUAAAGCGGGGCAAAGGCAUGUGCGGACUGGUGGGAUGACUUGAUUCAUAGCAAGGCGUGGCUAUGGAAUUAUGGGCAAGGCAAGGUCCGAGACAAAGGUUGGC